UCCGAAUUGGUGUAGUGGCUAACAUUUGACGCUCUCAUGUCUGCCUUUCUUAACCUCAUCUGAGGUUAAGGAUCAGGUUCAGUACCGUCAAGCCCGGGGUUCGAUUCCCCGAUUCGGAG